rnacentral:lncRNA from 1 species
CCAGGUCCCUGCAGCCAACUGGCAGCCAGCCUGCCAGGGUGGCCUGUUUUGCGGACGGGUCUUUGUGGAUCUCUGUUGACUGAACCUCCCUCCCGUGGCCAGACUAGGACCUUUUGAGUCACCAGCCUGGUGCCCCUCCUGUCAGAUCCCUCUCAACUGGUUCUGGGCUGUCUCUGGAUCCCUGCUUGUGUGUGUGUGUGCGUGUGCAAGUGUGUGCAUGUGCGCCACAUGUAUGUGGAGUGGGGCUCCGGGUGUCCCUUCUGGAUACAGACCGCGUGCUGCGCCCACGUGGGUGUGGAGUGGGGCUCCGGGUGUCCCUUCCUGCAUCAGACCUCGUGCUGCACCUGCAGGAACGCUUCGUGGUGCACAUCACCGACGUGCUGGCCGUGUCCAUGAUGCUGGGCAUCACGGCGCAGGUGAAGGAGGCUGGCAUCGCCUGGGACAAAGGAGAAAAGAGGAACCUGGAAGUACUCCGCUCAUUCCAGAACCAGAUCGCCGCCAUCCAGCGGGAUGCCGUCUGGUGGCUCCACACUGUGGUUCCUUCCAUCAGCAAGCUCGCCCCAAGGACUACGUGCACUGGUGCGGCCCGGGCCCCGCACAGCCCCUGCCACACAUCCCACUGAGCCGGAACAAGCCAGGGCCCCACACAGCCCCUGCCCCAUACCCCCCUGAGCCGGGACAAGCCAGGGCCCCACACGGGAGCCUGUCCCCUCUCUGGACAGCAGCAGCCGUCAGGCGGCAGGCAUGUCACCCUGUGUACAUUAGAGCCUCCCGUGGGGCCUCUGCCUUGGUUGGGGUGGGGCUGUCAGGCUCGAGCCUGCAUUUCUCUGCAACGAUUUUGGAAAGGACGGUCGGUCGCUGUCCAGCCCCGCAGCCCCGUGAGUGGUCCCUGGGCUCUUUGGUGGUGCUGUGAGGAGGUGCUGAACUUGGCAUCAGGCAGCCCCGCCUCUGAGUGCUUGGGCGUGCGGGAGCGGGGUCCCUUCCCUGGAACUAACAGGGCUGGUCCCUGAGCACCCACGUCAUGACUGAGGGCCCUUCUCUGCCUGCCCAGCCUGCACAAGGUGCUGUUCACAGAGCAACCGGAGACCUACUACAAGUGGGACAACUGGCCACCAGAGAGUGACCGCAAGUGAGUGCACUGCCUCCUGGGCUCCUGUGCGCUGGGCUGGGCAGGGCGGGGGGAGGGGUGCCUGACUGGCUGCAGCAGGAAGGGCCAGUGGGAGUUGGGCCGCUGUUCUCAAGGUCACGUCACCAUCCUGUCCCUCCUCCACGACCCUGGGUGCCUUCUCUCACUCCCAUGCUGGCGUUCCUGCGCCACUGCAGGGAUUCAGC